GUGAAUCAUCGAAUUUUUGAACGCAAAUUGCGCUUCCUGGCAUCCCGGGAAGUAUGCCUGUUUGAGGGUCAGUAUUAACAAAAAAUCGGUUUGGUUGCAAAUUGUGACGUUUCUGGAGUUUGGGCUAUCUCAACUUUUUUGGUUAAGGUGCUAAACAUUGUCCUUAUUUGCGCAUUUUUAGACGUACAUGAAUUAUUUUUUUUAUUCGUCUGUCUUAUUGCUCAAAAUCCUAUGAGAUGCGACAAUAUCGAGUGGCA
rnacentral:misc_RNA from 1 species